AAAAUUGUCUGAUUCCGUCAGUGCAGCAAUAUCUAACAUGUAAACUAACAAUUCCACAGCAACUACCUAACAGACACAUAUCUAAGGAAAGGAAUGGAAUAAGAAUAUGCACAUGUCAAUAUAUGGUUGAGAUUUGAAAUAAUACAUAAAAAACAUAAUACUGCAAGGUUCCUUAAGGACUAGAAGUGAGGCAGCCCUCUCUGUCGGCGCCAUCUUUUGGUAAACAUUUCAGGCAUUAUCCUUGCUCUUUCCUCAUCUGAGAGUGACUACUGUAGGCUGGUUUGUACACUCCUCUCUGUAUUUAUUUGGAAAGUGAAGCAAAAAUGAGUACAUUUGUCUCUAUACUCCAGGAUGUUUUAUUUGAGAUCAAAUGUUUCAUACUGUAUGAGGUGACAGUACAGUGUCUGUUUUACCGUUUAGAAAUAAAAUCACUUUAUGUAUCUAGUCCCCCAUUUGAAUGUGAAUUUUUCUUCAUAAGUAUUUGGACAAAUUCACUUAUAGUGUAUUAAAGUAGUCAAACGUUUUAGUAUUUGGUAGUGGACUAAACUCCAUGGUGAAGGAAGUUGAUGAUGAACUUCAACAACGGCGUGGAGCCGAGACCAGGCUUUGUGGAAUCUAGCUCCGAUUACAUCGAUUCGCCCAAGGUCAAUACUUAUAAAAAAUAAUCAUAUGAAACGCCCACAUUGUACCUCUGUAGUUGCGUGCCUUUCUUUGUUUGCUAAAAUCCAUAUAUUUUCAAUAAACGUUAAUCAAAUAACACCAACAAAUGUUUCUUGGUUUAGAUUCAAUUGGCACAUGCGCAUUUGCGCUGAGUUGCCAUCUUAGAGCAACAGCAAUGAGCAAACAGUCAGCGGUUGUAUUUGAUUCAUGUUUAUUGAGAAAGUAUGAAUUUGAUCAAACAAAGAAAGGCACACAGAUACAGAGGACAAUCAUAAGUACAAGGUAGGAGUUUCAUCAUUUAAAACAUUUUAUGUGUAGGAGAUAGAUAGUGGCACAGCGGUCUAAGGCACUGCAUCUCAGUGCAAGAGGCGUCACUACAGUUUCUGGUUCGAAUCCAGGCUGUAUAACAUCCGGCCGUGAUUGGGAAUCCCAUAGGGUAGCACACAAUUGGCCCAGCGUUGUCCGGGUUUGACCGGGGUAGGCUGUCAUUGUAAAUAAGAAUUUGUUCUUAACUGACUUGCCUGGUUAAAUUUAAAAAAUGUAAUAUAUAAAUAAAUAGAUUCCACAAAGCCUGGUCUCGGCUCCAUGCCGUUAGUGAAGUUCCUCAUUAAACUUCCUUCACCAUGGAGUUUAGUCCGCUAAGUAUUUGGUCCCAUAUUCCUAGAACGCAAUGACUACAUCAAACUUGUGACUCUACAAACUUGUUAUAUGAAUUUGCAGUUUGUUUUGGUUGUGUUUCGGCUUAUGUUGGAACCAAUAGGAACUGAAUGGUGAAUAUUGUAUUGUGUCAUUUUGGAGUCAAUUUUAUUGUAAAUAAGAAUAAAAGAUGUUUCUGAAUGCUACCAUGAUUAUUAAUCAUGAAUGAAUUGUGAAUAAUGAUGAGUGAUAAAGUUACAGAGGAACAAUGAUCAUAUCCAUCAUUAUUAUUCAGAAUUCCUUCAUGAUUAUUGAUAAUUAUGGUAGCAUCCACAUUAAUGUAGAAGUGUCCAGAAACAUCUUCUAUUCUUAUUGACAAUUAAAGUGUCUCCAAAAUAACACAAUACAUUAUUCACCAUUCAGUUCCUAUUGGCAAAGCGUAAUCCGAAACUCAUCCAAAACAAACUGCAAAUGCAUCCAACAAGUUUGAUGUAGUCAUUUUGUGCUAGAAAUAUGGGAUCAAAUACAAAACUUUUGACUACUGUAAUGAAAUAUGUGAAUUUGUCCAAAUAGUUCUUCAAAUAGCGGGACUAGAUCCAUAAAGUGCUUUCAUUUCUAAACAGUAAAACAGAUAUGUAUGAAAAUAACCUGAACUUUAAGGUGACAUUCUGUACUAUCACCUCAUAUGAAACCAGUAUAGAGCCUCACUGUCCAAAUAAUUACAGAGGGGAGUGUCACACACACAGAGGGGAGUUCUACACCCCCUAGUGGACAUCCGGUGUCUCCUUGACCUGCAGCCAUUCUCCCAGUUCUCUCCCUCUCCCUCUGUGUGUGUGAUUGUGUAGUAUGAGACAGGUGUGCUGGAGUCAGAGACGUUCCCCACCAGCUGCAACCCAUUCCAUAAUCAAGACCUCUACAAAUACUCUGUCCUGCCACUUCCACUCUGCCAGAUCCUAAUCUCCAUUCAUUUUGCCGCUCUGACUCUGGUUCCUGUCUUCUGUUCCACAUCUCACCACCCUGCUACCCUGUUCUGGAAUCAACUCAUCAACACUCCCUUGAACCUGUUUACCCUGUCCCAACCCCAGCUCACUCCAACCUCAGCCUCCACAUCUGGUUUCCUACAACUCAUCCAAGCUUCCCUGGAUCUGCACUUCAUCUCUCCCUGUGUUACAAUAAAUAUAUUGGUUCAUCCCUG